rnacentral:rRNA from 1 species
AUGACUAGGGAUAACCUUAGGAAGAGACACAUCAUCAAACCCCUUGAUUGUGUUUACUGUUUGGAACAAGAGUCUUGUUCUCACCUAUUUUUUGAAUGUAUAGUUGCUAAACAUCUCUGGGCCCACAUUAAGGAAUAUUUCUCUAGUCAGAUUGGCUCAUCCUUCGAAUCUGUCGCCAGAUUCUAGAUUGCUACCAAAAAGUGCUCAAUUUUAAACACUGUUAGCUCAGAUGUCCUUUGGUGCCUCUGGAAAUAUAGAAAUGCUAUGAUUUUCAGUAACAUCUCCUGGAUUUCCAUUUCGCAGGUCUUGAGGUUGAUCAGGAACAUGGUGGGGAACUGGGCGAUUCUCUCCUCCGGAUCGGACAAGGACAAGUUGAUGAGCUUCGUGGAAACCCUAACAAUAUCCCUCCAGAAACCGUUGGCGAUCACUUGUGGCUGA